rnacentral:misc_RNA from 1 species
CUUCAGUUGCCAGAUGUAACU